rnacentral:rRNA from 1 species
GAUGAACGCUAGCUACAGGCUUAACACAUGCAAGUCGAGGGGUUUCAAAGGAGCUUGCUCCUGCGGAACGACCGGCGCACGGGUGAGUAACGCGUAUCCAACCUGCCCUUCAUAUUGGUAUAGCCUCCCGAAAGGGAGAUUAAUCCCGAAUGCCAUAUCAUAGUUGCCUGACGAUGAUAUGAAAGCUCCGGCGAUGAAGGAUGGGGAUGCGUUCCAUUAGGUAGUAGGCGGGGUAACGGCCCACCUAGCCGACGAUGGAUAGGGGUUCUGAGAGGAAGGUCCCCCACACUGGAACUGAGACACGGUCCAGACUCCUACGGGAGGCAGCAGUGAGGAAUAUUGGUCAAUGGGCGCAAGCCUGAACCAGCCAAGUAGCGUGAAGGAAGACUGCCCUAUGGGUUGUAAACUUCUUUUAUACGGGAACAACCACAGGUACGUGUACCUGUCUGCGUGUACCGUAUGAAUAAGCAUCGGCUAACUCCGUGCCAGCAGCCG